rnacentral:rRNA from 1 species
AGAGUUUGAUCCUGGCUCAGAAUCAACGCUGGCGGCGUGCCUAACACAUGCAAGUCGAGCGAGAAAGGGAGCUUCGGUUCCCAAGUAAAGCGGCGGACGGGUGAGUAACACGUGGGUAAUCUGCCCUCGGGUGGGGAAUAACUCAGGGAAACCUGGGCUAAUUCCGCAUGAUAUUCCCGAUACUCAAGUAUUGGAAAUCAAAGCUGGGGACCCUUCGGGGCCUGGCGCCUGAGGAGGAGCCCGCGGCCAAUUAGCUUGUUGGUGGGGUAAUGGCCCACCAAGGCUUCGAUUGGUAGCCGGCCUGAGAGGGCGGACGGUCACACUGGGACUGAGACACGGCCCAGACUCCUACGGGAGGCAGCAGUGGGGAAUUUUUGUCAAUGGGGGAAACCCUGAACAAGCAACGCCGCGUGGAGGACGAAGACCUUCGGGUUGUAAACUCCUGUCGGAGGGGACGAAGGUGCAGGUGGUUAAUACCCAUCAGUAUUGACGGUACCCUACGAGGAAGCCCCGGCUAACUCCGUGCCAGCAGCCGCGGUAAUACGGGGGGGGCAAGCGUUGUUCGGAAUUACUGGGCGUAAAGGGCGCGUAGGCGGACCAGACAGUCUCUCGUGAAAUCCCACGGCUCAACCGUGGAACUGCGGGAGAUACUACUGGUCUUGAGUUCGGGAGAGGAGUGUGGAAUUCCCAGUGUAGCGGUGAAAUGCGUAGAUAUUGGGAGGAACACCGGUGGCG